GCAUCUCUCUUCCCCCAAGUCCAUCGUCAGGUCUCCUUGGCCUGGCUAUGGUCAUGGGUCUGCCCGCAACCAAUCACUGUGGCCCAGGGCAGAAUGGACCAAUUGCUUCGGCUUUCAUUUCCGGCGCUUUACAAAGGCUGAGCUGAAGGCUGCACCGCCAGAAGCUUGGAAUUUGCCUGGCCUGCUGGAUGGAGAGAGUCUGACUCGGAUUCUGGGGGCUUGGAAAGACAGUCAAAAGACUCUUCCCUUCCCUGAAAUAGCCACGCAUUUGUUUAAAGACUUGAAACCAUUCUGAUGCUGGAAUUUC